CCUACGGGAGGCAGCAGUGGGGAAUAUUGGACAAUGGGGGAAACCCUGAUCCAGCGACGCCGCGUGAGUGAAGAAGUAUUUCGGUACGUAAAGCUCUAUCAGCAGGAAAGAAAAUGACGGUACCUGACUAAGAAGCUCUGGCUAACUACGUGCCAGCAGCCGCGGUAAUACGGAGGGGGCAAGGGUUAUCCGGAUUUACUGGGUGUAAAGGGAGCGUAGACGGCGGCGUAAGUCUGGGGUGAAAGGCCGGGGCCCAACCCCGGAACUGCCCUUGAAACUGGGAAGCUGGAGUGCAGGAGAGGUAGGCGGAAUUCCUGGUGUAGCGGUGAAAUGCGUAGAUAUCAGGAGGAACACCGACGGCGAAGGCAGCUUACUGGACUGUAACUGACGUUGAGGCUCGAAGGCGUGGGGAGCAAACAGGAUUAGAUACCCCAGUAGUC
rnacentral:rRNA from 1 species